rnacentral:lncRNA from 1 species
UCGAGUACAAAUGCGUUACAUUGCAUAUGUCACUUUGUUCAUGCCACAUCUUAGAAACUGGUGGAAUAGGAUGAUCUGGAGACAAAUGAACGUACUAAAACAAGAAUUCAUUAAUAUACACAUAUCAUAUAAAAAUAAACUACAAACAAAAACAAAUAAAUUCAUACCGAAAUAUAGUGAUCAUCAUAAAUAAAACCAAUGACAAUCACACAUAGGUUUGUAUGUUGAAUAAAACAUCAGGGGAAGCCAAAAUAGAAUAGACCAUACAUCUUUUUUUAAAUAAUAGUUUUCGGAUUUUAUAAAUUGUUUUUUCUUUCAUUCUGCAGAUGCUUAAUAUCUCAUAUCUCCUAGGUGGCUAGAUCAUACCACUACCAAUUCAAAGUUCUUUUCAUUACAAAUUUAAAGUUCUUUUCAUUCCUUUUUUUUUUUUUUUAUAUAAUGAACUUUUCAUUCCUUUACUUGCAAGUGUUUUUUUUUUUUCUAAUAAAAUUAGACCAUAACUCAGAAACAAAGCAAUCCUAUCUAUUAGGAAUAACACAUGUGAUUUUUGUUUUCAAUUUGGAUCAUGUGUA